UGUCGGGGAGGAACCAGAGUCCAAGAACAGCCCUGACUCAGCCGGGGGACCUGGACGGUGGGAGUGAAGGCGGGACCGCCUUUCUCUUCCUCUUCCUUGUUUGGAUUUUGUCAAUGGCCGUGGGUGGCCCCACCUAUAGCAUCCUAGUCACGGAGUCCGCUGAGUAAUCUCUGCUUUGAAAGACGCAUCUGUUCGGCCCCAAGUCACAGGGGCACGUCACAUGCGCUUCCGUCCGGGAAGCGUGACCGCGGGUCUGACCGCAUCAUCACACGUCUGGAGGCUCCCAUUUAAUUUGCAAACUACGUGUUUUCGAUUGAGCCCCCUUGGGAGUAAUGGGAUCAUCCAGAUCAGCAUUUGUCUGACCCAGGAGGGCUGAGGGGGACACCUGUGUUCAGAUGUGGACUGUGCACUUCCCAGCUGUGACUGCAGACGUGUUAAGAUGCCGUUUCUCCACUUGGGUCUCUGCUCUUUAACUGAUCUGAAUUCAGUCUCCCUGCGCAUCUCCCUGCACGGUACCUGCUUGCAAGCAGUUGGGAAGAUCAGUUUCAAGCAGAUGGACACAAGAAGAUCGCGUGUGCUGGAGUAGGUAUUAUACUCAUGCCACAAAGUUUCCUGUUUUAAAGUCAGCCAUGCGGAUCCUGGGGGCAGAGACUUGUUACCGUUUUCAACUCAAGAUGCGUUUCUUUCUUUGCCCACUUGGACAAAACAUAUUGCAAACACCCUUUGGGCUACACUUUUGUUGCAUGCAAACCUCUUCUAUUUUUUUGACCGUUCAAUACCCAUCGCCCGGGACACACUGCGUUGUGUGGGGGCGGCUGGGGGAGGGGAGUGCAGCAGUUAGCAUCACGGGGAGUGCGGUGUGGCUCAGGAAUAGCACACUUGGGAGAGUAAAUUUUGAGGGCGAUGGGGCAUCCUGGGGUACCUGCGCUGGAAAUUCAAGCCAAUUUUGUCAGAAUCUAAGAGGACUAGGUGAGUCUGGUUGACAUCAAUUACACUUUCCUUAUUCCCCCCUUUCCUUCUAUGCUGUUCCUCUGACAACCCCUGGGAUUCGGUUGCUCGCGGACCAGCAGGUAUGACAUCGUGUCCAGCAUUAUAGCCUUACAUGUGCGCUAUUGUUCUGGUCCCACGUUCACUAUCUGGCCCUCGGCGUCGAAUGGACGUUCCGCAAUCACUUACCACACGAAUCGACACGUACAUGUUCUUUCCACAGACAGUAAAAUUCAAAAUUCUAAUAUGGGGGAACAAUUGCGUAUGGCAACUUAGACAUUUUUGUUACCUGAGGGUCAAGCAACAGCUCUUCUGUUUUAACUUGUGUUUUGGAAAAAAAAAAUUCUAAAAUAUUUUUAAUGCAUUUACCUGUUUUGAUAAUUACAGUAUAGACAAAACAAGUAAAAUUUGA